AAAGGCACGGCUUGUUUUGGAGCGGCUGUAGAGCUGGUAAUAGAAGAAUGCCCUCCUUCUGAUUCAGAGCGGGGAGGUCCUCUGGUACCCUGCCACCGCCUGAGGACCGCAGGGCAUUUUUACUUGGCUCUGCAUGGUGGGAGACGCUUCUCCUUUAGGAGGUUGAAGUUUGUUUUUGGCUCUUGAGUUGGGUGGUGUUUGUAAGAACAGAUACCAAGACAGCAGACUUUUUCUCAGGUGCAUGAUGGACGCCUCCCCAGGACUGUCCCCCGGAUACCUCAGAUUGAAGAGGGUAGGAAUGAUCUCACCAUCUUCCUCUGUAAGUGCGCUCAUCUUGCAGGAUUGCCGAUGUCAGGUUGGGGCCCUCCAGUCCAUCCAGAGGCCUGCGACAGGAAACCUGGUCUCAUCUGGGACUCUGCCUAACCUCCGAGUUCUAUGGCCCACUAGGCCAAGCUUACCCGUCUCCCGAGUCAGCGCCCCUUACCAGCUCAACGCCCCAGUCUGGGCCCACCUCUCUCCCGUCUGGACGAUGCAAUGGCUGAUCUAUUAGUCUCCUUGCUCACAUCUCUUCUCCCUUGAAACUCCAGUCCAGAUCAACGAGAGUUGAAUCUGACGAUGUGCCCCUCUGUAGAAAUGCCUCCCUGACUCCUGAUUAGUUGGGAGUUACGCCUGAGCUUUCAGCAGGGCAUGCAAAGCUGGCCCCAUUGCUUGGGCCCCAUUUCUUGCCACUCUGGGAUCUAGAAGUACUGAGCAACUUCUGUCCCUGGCAUUGGCAUGGUGGUCAUGCGUGCUGCCUUGAUAGGUAUGGGUCCCUUUGCCAGGGACACCUCCUGACUUCUCAUCUACCUGACAAACUCCUAUUCGUCCUGCAAAAUCCUCACCCAGUGUCACCACAGCUUCCUCCCGAGACAGAGUCUUCCAUGAGACAGACUCGGUGGCGUGCAGACCUCUCUCGUUUUCCCCAUUACUCUGUGGUCAUGACUGUUUUUCCGUGGCUCUCCUCUUCCUCAGGCAGGAACUGCCUCUGUACAACCCACUUUCCAGCACACGCUUUCCACUCUCGAUAUACGUGCUGAGCUGAGACCUCAAAUGUUCUAGGCAAGUACCAAGAAGCCAAAGUCUUUGGUUGUGGUCCUUAGGCCUCAUCGCAGCUAAUGAUGUUGUCAAAGAGAAAAAUCUGACAGAGACCCAAGAGACAUACAGAGCUCUCCUCCCCUUUCCUGGGUGGCUGACCGCUCUCACAUUUCCUUUCCCGGGCAGAAGAGCUGAGCUUGAUUUGGCUCUGUCAUUUACUGACCCUGAACCCCCCAGAGCUUCAGUUUGCUGAAGGAAAGGAGGUUCCGAUAGGAUAAUGCAGCUGAGAGCGUUAAGUGAACGGUGGGGGCCUUGGGGUUCUCUUCAUGCCUGUCAGCACCUGUCCUCUCUCUGGGCGACUCUUGCGAGUGUGACGUGGGCCCCCUGUGCAGUGCUCAAGAGCUGUUGAGACAGGCCCACACGCGGUCCAGGAGUCGGGAUGUGGUCUGAGUCUGCAAUGGGGAAGGGCCGCAGCAGCUGUGUUUGUUUAUUGGGGUGAUGGCUGAGCAAGAUAAUAGCACUCUUUGGAGAUGUGUCUAUGGGAGGAUAUGUGAUGGAACCACAAAGUUGAGCCCACAAAGGGGGCUCCAUUUUGGCUCCGUUCGUUUGUCAGCGACUGCUGGGAGGGAG